AUACGGAGGGUGCAAGCGUUACUCGGAAUCACUGGGCGUAAAGCGCGCGCAGGCGGCUAUUUAAGUUGGAUGUGAAAGCCUACGGCUCAACCGUAGAACUGCAUCCAAAACUAUUUAGCUAGAGUGUGGGAGAGGAAGAUGGAAUUAGUUGUGUAGGGGUAAAAUCCGUAGAGAUAACUAGGAACACCAAAAGCGAAGGCGAUCUUCUGGAACAGUACUGACGCUGAGGCGCGAAAGCGUGGGGAGCAAACAGGAUUAGAUACCCUAGUAGUCC
rnacentral:rRNA from 1 species